rnacentral:sRNA from 1 species
AUCCCCAGGUGACAUCCCUGGAACUCUCUGCAUGGCUGGCACAGGAGCUCCACAGUCGCAGAGACCGCUCUGCACCUUGCUGGGAGACAAGAGGGUUGAAGAAUCAGUUAAUGUUCCCUUCAUGCUUAUGCCAUGAUGAUUCCUGUUGGUCUGGACACCUUGCAGAAGAAUCUCGGCCACAAGAAAGAGUAUUAAAAGCAAGUGGAAGAGGAAGACAGCC